GACGAACGCUGGCGGCGUGCCUAAUACAUGCAAGUAGAACGCUGAAGGAGGAGCUUGCUCUUCUGGAUGAGUUGCGAACGGGUGAGUAACGCGUAGGUAACCUGCCUGGUAGCGGGGGAUAACUAUUGGAAACGAUAGCUAAUACCGCAUAACAGUAGAUGUUGCAUGACAUUUACUUAAAAGGUGCAAUUGCAUCACUACCAGAUGGACCUGCGUUGUAUUAGCUAGUUGGUGGGGUAACGGCUCACCAAGGCGACGAUACAUAGCCGACCUGAGAGGGUGAUCGGCCACACUGGGACUGAGACACGGCCCAGACUCCUACGGGAGGCAGCAGUAGGGAAUCUUCGGCAAAGGACGGAAGUCUGACCGAGCAACGCCGCGUGAGUGAAGAAGGUUUUCGGAUCGUAAAGCUCUGUUGUAAGAGAAGAACGAGUGUGAGAGUGGAAAGUUCACACUGUGACGGUAUCUUACCAGAAAGGGACGGCUAACUACGU
rnacentral:rRNA from 1 species